rnacentral:rRNA from 1 species
UACGGGGGGAGCAAGCGUUGUUCGGAUUUACUGGGCGUAAAGGGCGCGUAGGCGGCGCAACAAGUCACUUGUGAAAUCUCCGGGCUUAACUCGGAACGGUCAAGUGAUACUGUUGUGCUAGAGUGCGGAAGGGGCAACUGGAAUUCUCGGUGGUAGCGGUGAAAUGCGUAGAUAUCGAGAGGAACACCUGCGGCGAAGGCGGGUUGCUGGGCCGACACGUGACGCUGAUGCGCGAAAGCCAGGGGAGCGAACGGG